CGAGAGAAGGAGGGGAUUCCGACGCCGUGAGAGACGCCGGAGUUGGGAUACGAAAAAAGUCAACUUCGCUGUUUUUUCUCCUUAAUCACCUUUUUUUUUUUUUUUAGUUUUGAUCCUCUCCGGUCGACUUAGUUACGUCUUACGUUAAAUAGUAUGUUUAUGUAGUGUCUAAGAUUGAAUGCAUAAGAAUUUAACCCAAAUGCUGAAAAGGCUAAUUAAAUGCUAUUUACGAGCUCUAAUCAUACCAUGGCAUUUUGGUCAGUCCAAGCCACACUGUGGGAUCUACAUAAAUACGAAAUUGCCAGUCUAGUAUUUCUUUAAAUGCUUUUCAAAUCGUUGGAAUGUAGUGUGAUUAAUUACUCUUGUGAAGACUACGUGUACAUGUGUGUGCGACCUUAACAUGAUUAUGAGAGUAAGACCAAGAACACAAAGCUUCAUGGAUACAUCCUGAUCAUUCAUUCGUGUGUUAUAUAUCAACUUUGCCAUAGAAGUCAAAAUCACCAAACAAUCCGUGAAAUGUCAAAUUCUGAAUAGAAGAAACCUUGAGAAGGAUAACAAUCAUGUUGAUGAUCACUGUCUUACGGGUCUGGGCCUAACAUAUUAUAUAAUUGCGGUACAAGACCCAACAAGAAGAUCCAACCCAUUGGAAAACAUUGUGCCAAUGGCAAAAGAUAUUAUCUUUAUAUAUACAACCAGAGUUUUAUUUGAGCACGCAACAUCUCAUGCAAAUUAUGCAGUACACAAAUGAUAUUAUUUGUUAAACAUAAGUUCAUAUUUGGCCUUAACUGAGAUAUGAUGCUCAAUGCAUGACCAGGCCACCAGGGGUUAUCUAUCUCGCGUUCUUAUGUAUAAAUAUAUAUAAUGUAUGAUUUAACACUAUUGGUAACAUACUGAUUAACAUGUAACGUAGCUAAAAUUUGAAUAUAGUUUUUAUUUGAAGAUGAACUGUAAAUAUAAUAAUAUUAAACAGACAUACUAAUAUACUAUAUUAUAGCAAUUCUUAGUUAGUUGGUAAUUAAAUACAUAAAUCGAAAUAUGGUCUACAAGAAAGGGGACAAAAGUGACUUGACUAACAAUAGUGUCAUCUCUUUAUAUUUACAGUUCCAUAUACAUACACACGUACAUAAGCACGAAUUUAUUAUAUAUAUAUAUAUAUAUAUAUAUAUAUAUAUAUAUAUAUAUAUAUAUAUAUAUGCAUGCAUAAUAUAAUGACGAUGGCAUUACUCGUAAGUUACGUAAGUGGUGACUUGGAAAUGGGAUUAAAGCAAAGAAGUUGAUUUAAAACUUUUGAUUAAGGGGACAAGCGAUGAUCAAGAGUCUUGAAUCUUAAUUAAUUCAUAAUUAGCAAACGAGAGUUUGUAGAGAAAUAGAAGAAAAGUGGUGGGGUUUAAGGCAGAAGCCUCGUUUCCUAAUCCUAAGGUGUUCAAAUGUCACUUUAACAAAGUAGACAUGAAGAGACUCAAGUUUUUCCAAGAAACUGUAACUUCAUAAUAUAUUCCAUUUCAUGAAACAAAGAUUCACAUAUUUUCACUUUUCACAAACUCAACGACCACAUUCUAAUUAAUCAUGUUUCUAAUCACAUAUGUUAUUCAAUUGCGCACAAAUGACCAAGUCGGAAAAUCACAUAAAAUGUAUAUACUUCGAAAUUAAGACUAACUAGUUUUUUUUUUUAACAUGAACCUAAAAUUGCAAGUAACCCACACAUAAGUCGCAAAUAUUAGGAAUGGUCUAGAGCUAUACGUGUACACCUAUGUGUCGCAUGCAUAUUCGUCUAUAUUUUAUCUUCCGUACCGGCGACAAUUACAGAAGUGUUAUGUAACAAAUUUGAUCAUAUGUACUUGUUUAAGUAAUUGGGUUAAAACUGUAUGAGUCGCACGUGUGAUUGCGUACAUUCGCACGCACCCUAUCCUUUCACAUUAGUUCCAAAGUCAUUUUCACCAACCAAAUGCAACAUCUCCAACACUUCUUUCUGUGAUCUUAUUAGCAUCAGAUUUGACAAAGUAAGACAAAUUUAUAUUUUCUUAACCUUAAUCAUUUCUAACCAAAAAAAACUGAAUCAUUAUUUAUUUGAAUAAUCUUAUUUCAUCAGAUACCUUAAUUCUUCAGCUGACUUUUAAAACUCUUAAUAACUCUAUUUUAUAUUAUAUUAAAAUGAAUAAUUCAAUAACCAUAGUAUAUAUGAAUACAUAGAUAAAGUAAAACACAAAAUAUCUUCUUUGAAAUUGUUGUACCUUCCCCAUCAUGACAUCUGUAAAUACAUACGUUAUAUUUACCUUAAUUAAAAACAAGCCUGAUCUAUAUAUAUAUACAUAUUUGUUAUUUUGUACGAACGAGUAAUGCAUAAUUCUUAUUUUAGAUCAUUGCUAUUCUUCUAUAACUAAUGAUAAAGUAGUGAAGACGGGUAUAUAUAAAGUUACUCUGUAAAUUUCUUUAAUAAAUUUCAAAGAACUGUUCUAAGAAAAUUGAUUAAGAACUCAAACGCUACAUCAAGAGAUGAGAGAUCUAUAAUGGCGACAUGCUCGAGAACCGCUACUAGUAAAAAUGUCUUGCCAUAAUGCCACUAACUUUUCGGUAAUGUAUAUUAACAAGAAUUAAUUAGUAAAAGUCUUCUAUAUGUGUGUAUAUUUUUAACAAAAAAGUAUGUAUAUAAUUAUUUAUAUAUUAUGUAACGUUUUUUUUUUCUGAAAACAAUCGUGGGGUAAAGGUGUGAGAAUUAAGGUUAUAUAUAGGUGGGUGAGCUUUGGUAGGCUUUUGACAUAACUUGCAAGCUGUUGAGAUUUUCCAUCCUCAAUAACUUUUAGAUUUCUCAUCUCUCUAGCUCCCAUCUCUUUACUCUCUAUUUCACAUCCCCAUAAUUCAUAAUACACAAUCACACAUUAAUAUAAUAUUUAAUGGGGAGGCAGCCAUGCUGCGACAAGCUAGGGGUGAAGAAAGGGCCUUGGACGGUGGAGGAAGACAAGAAGCUCAUAAACUUCAUACUCACCAACGGCCAUUGUUGCUGGCGUGCUUUGCCAAAGCUGGCCGGUCUCCGCCGCUGUGGAAAGAGCUGCCGUCUUCGCUGGACUAACUAUCUCCGGCCUGACUUGAAGAGGGGCCUUCUCUCUCACGAUGAAGAACAACUUGUCAUUGAUCUUCACGCUCAUCUCGGCAAUAAGUAAGCCUACAUAACUAGUACUCAUAAAUUAAACCCACAGUUUCUUUUGUGUUGCUUCUACUUAUGAUUUGUGUCUUUAGGUAUAUCGUUCCAUAUAUGAACAAAAGCUUACAAAUUAUCAAAUUUAUGUUAAAAUUGCGAUUUUACGUUGUAAAAACACUAGAGACUUAAGAUAAACAUUGGUUUAGAUCUCGACAUCUCGUAUGUUAUUCAUAAAAUAUAAAGUCAAUUGCAUGUGAUCCAACAUGUUUAGUGUAUGUAUGUGUUAAGUAAAUUAUGCCAAAUAUAUCAAUUAGAUAGAUCCAAAUAAGUUGGUCAAAUAUGUAGAAUAAUUUUUCGAUUUGCAUUAAUUUUACUUUGAAAUCAACUUCAAGACAAAGUAACGUCCUUCUCUUCCAAAAACAAUGUUAACUUAUUUUGUCAAUCUUCUUGUGUUUAUAUUUCAAGAAACAUAUCCACCAACACUUCAUAAAAUAUUAUAUAUUCUUGUGAUUGAGAAUUUUUUUAUUAUCUUAUAGGUGGUCUAAGAUAGCUUCAAGAUUACCUGGAAGAACAGAUAAUGAAAUAAAAAACCAUUGGAAUACUCACAUCAAGAAAAAACUUAUUAAGAUGGGAAUCGACCCUAUGACCCAUCAACCCUUAAACCAAGAACCUUCUAACACCGACCCGUCCAAAACCAUUUCCUCGAAUCCAGAUGAUAUCUCAAAGGAACCAAAGACAGCCAGCACAAAAACCUUGGACAUAAUUAGUGGCACGACAACAACAGAAGACGAAAGCAGUAGCACGGUUACUGAUCAAAACAGUUCGAUGGAUAAUGAAAAUCAUCUACUUGACAACAAUUACAAUGAUGAUGAGUUGUUUAGUUACUUAUGGUCCGACGAAACUACAAAAGCUGACGCCUCGUUGGGUGAUAGUAACUAUGGCGCCGUUGGUGGAACAUUAUAUGACAGUAAUAAUAUUUCCACCACCGUUUCAGAUCUUCCGAUAUGGUCACCCGAAGGAAUCAACGACAAAGAUUGGAUGUUUCUCGACUAUUGUCAAGACUUUGGUGUUCAUGAUUUUGGGUUUUGACUCUUCACUAUUGACAUAGUGGCAGCUCUCUGGAGAUGAGUCACAAGCAUAUAAUGUAUAUGUGUACACUAUAAAUGUAUAUGUAGUAGCAUAAAAAAUCCAUGUAAAGCAGUAAGGGUGCACCGUGGUUUUCAAGUAUUGUUAAUUAGGGUAUGGUGUAAGGUUUUGUCAAAGUCAGGACACCACAAGUUUAUUUAGUUUUCUUUUGUUUUUAUAUUAUGGUGUAGUCAAAUAAUUCACAUAAUGCCAAAAGCCUAAGAAUGAAUAAUAUCAUGAAAACAUUGUGAAUCGUCGUAAUCAACGUUUGGAUCUUUUUUAACUUAAGUGACUUAGAGCAGUGGCUCUAAUUUUUUUUCUAGUUUAUCAUCAUUGACUAUGUAUCUAUUAUUUUCAAACUUUUAAGGAGAUUUUUAUUGAUGUUCAAAGACGAUAUGAGCCUAACCAAUUAAAAAAUAAGUAUGAAUACAGUAUGUGACCUGAAUUAAAAUAACCAUUGUAGUCAUUAGUCAAUUUAUUGGUUUUGAUUCAAUAUAAAGUGAGUAUACAACCACAUAAGUCCGGAUUUAUGUACUUAACGUAUGAAACUAACACAUGAUCACCCAUUGGUCUUGGCCGUAAAACAGUUUAGAUUUUCAUAUCGUUUCAAAAUAUGUCCACUAGUCCAAAAAAUUAUAGGAAAAUAGAUUUUCUAAUACAUAAUUCCCUAAAUAGGUGAUGAAAAUAAAACAAAUUUUGUUUCACAGUUAUGUUUUCUUUCUGUAGUAAUGAUCAUAUGUUUUCCUUGUUGUUCGAUAUGGUUAUUAAUUAGUCCCCAUUUUUUGUAGUCAUUCACACUUUCGGAUUUGAAAUCAGGCUAUGACACAACACGACUAAUCUAAAACUUGGUGAUCAAAAGUCAUCAGUUACUAGAUACUAGUAAACUGCAUGUUAUAUAAGAUCAGAGUUUUAAGUCAAAGAGUAUCUUAAUUGUUUUUAGAUUCAACUUCACAGUUUUAGCCCUUUACUCCUUUAAGGUCAAACAAUUGGAAAUGAGAUGGGGCAACCUGCGACGAAAGUUAAAUGUGAAUGUAACAAACCGUCAAAUAUAUUUUGGUCUCCAUGUCUUUGUCAAUGAAACUAUACAAUGAGUUCAAUUUCUUCUUCUUCUUCUUCUUUCACAUUAAUGCCCUUAGAAAAAAUUAAUCCAAAGCAAAAGAAAAAACAUCGAUUCAUAAAAUAGUCUUACUCUUUACACUUUUGCUUCUUAUAGUCAAGACUACAUUUUGUGGUAAGAAUUGCUAAGUUGUCUACUCCACAGAGUGUACACUGGACGUUCCAAUUUGGAUUCCAUGUUUUGUUUUGUAAUUUUCCAAUGUAAAUAAAUUUUACGAACAAGUCACAUCUGAUGCUCCAUCCAAGUGUUCAAAACAAUAGGAAGUGAAAAAAAAGAUGUAAAUUACUAAGAGAAAAGAGUUUAGCUUCUGUUCAAGUUCCUCUGCAACGAAAACAUAAAACGAAAAAAAAAAUCUCAACAUAUCUCUCUCAUCAUCUCUCAAGCAAUUAAACACAGAAAUGGCAAAGAG
rnacentral:lncRNA from 1 species